CUUCCAGUAGCACCUUAGAGACCAACUAAGUUUGUUAUGGGUAUGAGCUUUUGUGUGCAUGCACACAAACUUAUUUGGUCUCUAAGGUGCUACUGGAAG